rnacentral:rRNA from 1 species
CCUACGGGAGGCAGCAGUGAGGAAUAUUGGUCAAUGGACGAGAGUCUGAACCAGCCAAGUAGCGUGAAGGAUGACUGCCCUAUGGGUUGUAAACUUCUUUUAUAUGGGAAUAAAAUGUUCCACGUGUGGGUUUUUGUAUGUACCGCAUGAAUAAGGAUCGGCUAAUUCCGUGCCAGCAGCCGCGGUAAUACGGAGGAUCCGAGCGUUAUCCGGGUUUAUUGGGUUUAAAGGGAGCGUAGGUGGCUUGUUAAGUGAGUUGUGAAAGUUUGCGGCUCAACCGUAAAAUUGCAGUUGAAACUGGCAGUCUUGAGUACAGUAGAGGUGGGCGGAAUUCGUGGUGUAGCGGUGAAAUGCUUAGAUAUCACGAAGAACUCCGAUUGCGAAGGCAGCUCACUGGACUGCAACUGACACUGAGGCUCGAAAGUGUGGGUAUCAAACAGGAUUAGAUACCCUGGUAGUC